rnacentral:rRNA from 1 species
AAUACGAAGGGGGCUAGCGUUGUUCGGAAUUACUGGGCGUAAAGCGCGCGUAGGCGGUUUUGCAAGCCAGAGGUGAAAUGCCUGAGCUCAACUUAGGAAUUGCCUUUGGGACUGCGAGGCUUUGAGGACUGGAGAGGUGAGUGGAAUUCCCAGUGUAGAGGUGAAAUUCGUAGAUAUUGGGAAGAACACCAGUGGCGAAGGCGGCUCACUGGCCAGUUUCUGACGCUGCAGCGCGAAAGCGUGGGGAUCAAACAGGA